rnacentral:rRNA from 1 species
CAGUCGCCGCGGUAAUACGUAGGGUGCAAGCGUUAAUCGGAAUUACUGGGCGCAAAGCGUGCGCAGGCGGUUCGUUAAGACAGAUGUGAAAUCCCCGGGCUUAACCUGGGAACUGCAUUUGUGACUGGCGGGCUAGAGUAUGGCAGAGGGGGGUAGAAUUCCACGUGUAGCAGUGAAAUGCGUAGAGAUGUGGAGGAAUACCGAUGGCGAAGGCAGCCCCCUGGGCCAAUACUGACGCCCAUGCACGAAAGCGUGGGGAGCAAACAGGAUUAGAUACCCCUGUAGUCCCUGUCUCUUAUAC